rnacentral:miRNA from 2 species
GCGACCCAUUCUUGGUUUCAG